CAUUUCCAAUUUAAUCACACGGAACACAAGCGUUGGCAAAAGCAAACGCUGAAAGCUGCGAAGCUGCCACACUGUGGAGCUCGUAACUCCACUGAUACGCUACGCUUCGAUCUCUGUUCUGCUGUUGUUCGUCAAUUGUAGCUCCACACUUUGUACUAUGCCUAGGGUUUCACGUUUCGGUGUUCCACCUAGGAAAGGAGGAAAUAAAGCUUCAACUCAAUCCCCUCCACUAUCAACUAACAAUCCAGCAACUGCUAAUGCCCCACCACCAUCAACUACUGCUACACCAGUUGCUCAAGUUCCACCACCAUUGAAUGAUGCUCCACUACCUAAUCAAACCCCAUUAGUGUGGAUUGAUGCCACACUAUCUCAAGAACCUCCUCAACCCCUAUCAGCCACCCAAUCUUGGCCUAGGCGUCGGCAACGCACAAAAGCUCCUUUGCAAGCCCUACCACUUUCAGUUGAUGCUCCACCAUCUACUCAAACUCCACCACCAACUUUUCAAGCCCAGAAACCAUUGAUUAAUGCUCCACCAUCAGCUCAAGCCUCAUCAACACCCUCCACAGUGGCUCCUUCACAAGCCCCACUUGCCACCCAAACUCAACUAAGGCACUACCCAUGGGAGGAAGCUCCUUCACAAGCUCAACAACCAUCAAUUCAUGCUGCACUAUCUACUCAAGUGCCGGCAUCUUCAGCUGAUGCUCCAUCGUCCUCCGAGGCCUCAUCAUCUUCUGAGGCCCCAUCAUUUCCCGAGGCCCUAAUACCUUCAUUUGAUGCUCCACCACCAACUUCUCAUGCCACACUAGCAUCAAUUGAUGUCUCACCAUUCUCAGAAGUUCCUUCACAGGAUCCCCCUUCUGACCAAACUCAACGUCGGACCCGUGAAAACCGCAAAUUUUGGACUGUUGAUGUAAAAGAUGCUUCUGGAGUUACAAAAGUAGCAUAUUUGAAAUUGAAGGAUCUUUGGAACCUUCCCAGUGGCACCAAAGUGGUGUUGCCACUUAAUGAUUGGAAACAACCAGUUGGUGAGGCAGCUGGCCUCUUAGGACAAGCUCUUGGACAAUUGGGUGCCAAUUUUGCUGCUCUUCCUAUUUGCUAUAAGUCUUGGCCUAAAGUUCCUAAAAAUCUUAAGGAGGAGAUUUUUGAUAGCAAGAUAAAGGAUAAGUUCAUUAUAAACGAUGAUCUAGUGAAGAAGAUUAUAAUCCAAAGGAUUGGGGAAAAGUGGAAGGAGAAUCGAUCUGAAGUUUUUCAUAAAUAUUAUGAUCCAGAACUCAGUAAAGAAGAGAACUAUGCUAAUCACCCUCCUGAGAUAACUCGAGAUCACUGGAUUCAAUUUAUUGAUUAUCGUUUGGAUCCAAACACUGUGGAAAUGUGCAGAAAAAAUGCUGAAAGUCGGGAGAAACUAUCAGUUGUGCAUCGUUUAGGGUCCAAGAGCUUAGCAAGGAAACGGCAUGAGAUGGUGAUUGAAGUUGAGAAUGGAGAACCGGUUAGUAGGGGGAAAGUUUUUAUUGCCAUGCAUACUAGACCUGAUGGAUCAUAUCCAAACGAUGAAAUCCGAGCUAUUUGUUUUGCGCAUUUCAUUUCCAUUCUUUUGGUCAGUCUCUUCCCCAACACUAAUGCUGGAAUGUUCACAAUAGGACGAAAUUACUCGUAUUGAGACUGAAGGGAACUGUUCACCAACAGUUGGACCAGACGAUUCCCUUGCCCAAGCGCUCGGAGAGGAGCAUUCUGGUAGAAUCAGAGGUUUGGGUUUAGGACCCUGCAAAACACAAUUAUUUGAGGCUGAAGAGCAAACAAGAUGUGGAGGCAAAUGCCUAGAAAGUGCCCCCUUUACUCAGAUGAAACAGGAAAUUGUAGAUCUGCGAGCACGAUUGGAAAGAGAGACUAAAAGUAGACGUGAAUUUGAGAAUGCUGUAACUCUAGUCCUACAACAUGUUGCUACCCCAAACAUGACUCCUGAGCUCGCUACACUCCUUACUCCAUUGAUUACGCGUGCAUUUCAGGCCUCACUUGCUAAUGGUGGGAAUGCUGGGAAAAGCAAUGGGAAUCCUUCUAAAUGACAGAACUUGAUUGCCAUGAAUUGUCCAAAUACGGUGGUAGAAGAGAUGAAAUCUGUUAUAUCCAAGAAGAUAUUAGUUAAAGGGCAGAAUGGGAUCAUUCAGUGAUUGCUGAUGUUGGAGUUUCACUUUAGGGUGAAAAAAAAUGCAGUAUAGGACUGUAGAAUCUGUAUUAAGGUAGUGAAUGAAGAAGGUCUGAAAUUUUUGGAUAUGUUUUCAUGCCUGCAUGGUCACCCUAUUUUUACUAUUGGAUGAAAAAAAUUCUUUGUAAUUGAUAAGGGUAUUGAUAUAUUCUUCUAACCAUCAACCACAAAAUGGCAUUUAAGCAAUUCGAACAACUAUCACUUGUACUA